UUGUUGAAAGAAUCUAUAUUCCGCUUUUUUGAUUUUUUAAAUAAGUUUCUACAUGCAAUCCUUUGCACCUGCCAAAUUUUAUGAAAAAAUAUUAUGUAGCAGUUAGUUAAAUCAGUUAAACACUUUUGGUACUUAAUUUCUGUUUUCAAAAAUUGCCGAGUUAGGGCUGGGGGUGGUAGAGUUUUUUUUUUUUUAAUGUUUAUUGCAUAUUGUUUCACUUAGAUUGUUAGUAAUUAAAAAAUGAAUGAUAUAAAUGAACUGGGUAAUCAAACAGAUAGUAAGUUCAUAUGUUUUUUCAUAAUAAUACUAUUGUUUAUUACUUUUACAAGUAUUUUUUUGUUAAACUUUUAAAAAUCAUUGACUCGAUAAAACCUAUUCAAUACUUUUUUUUAAGUAACCCCUAAUUUUCGUUAUUUACGCCUUUAUUUUACAAAGUACUUUUCUUUGUUUAAUACAAAAUUGUUUUAUUGGAUUUGUUGCCAAAAAUGUGUUUUUUUAUAUAUAUUACACCUUUUUUAACUUUAUAUUCAUCAUCAUCUGGUGCAGUUGGUAAGUUAAAUAAGUAUUUUUUUAUUAGAUGUUUCUACUUAUUCUUUAAAGCUAUACUAUAAGUUUAAUACCUUUUUUUAUUUUAUUUGAUGACACCUUAUUUUUCUUUUAGUUUUAUCAACAUCUGCCAGUGGCAACUUUUUUCAGAUCUGUAUCGAGUUAAUGUCAAAAUCAAAGUUAUUUUGGUUAAUUUUCCAGCUUUGACACCAUCUGCUAUGGUUGGUACGGAGCGAAAGGGGGGCGGCUUACACCCCCUUUCAUGAAGACAAUUUAUACACCACUGUAACGUGGUAUUGGGCGGAAGAUACUUUUAGGUAUUGGGCGGAACCCUGACGGCUUACACUCCCUUCCAAGAAGGCAAUUUAUACACCACUAGUUACUAUUUUUCCAAGUAUCAAAAUAUAUUUUGUAUUUUUUAUACUAAAUUUAAUUGUUUUAGUAAAGAUUGAAAUAUUUAAAAGAAUGAAAUUUUGAUAGGGUCUGUUAAACCUUAUUCAAAACCCGACUUUGAGAUAGACUUGUAAUAUUCGCUAGUGAUGUGGAAUAAAAUAAUAACAAUUUUUUGUAUAUAAAUAUUUGUAAUUUUAAAAGAAAAACACUUUUUUAU